UGGAGGUGACUUGUCUAUGAAUAUAAAAAAAUCAUAAGUGUAGUACAGUUUUGCUCUGAACAUAGUGUUAGUGACCUUGAUGUAAGAAGUCUAUACAUUAGGAAGCAAGAAGUGUCCUAAACCUUUCGUAAGAAUAUUUCUGAGUGAAAGGCGGGAGAGGGCCGCAGCCCACGUCGCCUGCCUACAUAUUUUAUUGACCCUGCGCGACACAAGCGAGAUCCCGACACCGAGACAGAUCCGCGGAUAUGAGAAUGAUUUUGCAUAAUGAAACUCGUCCAGAAUUAAUAUCAUCCAUAUAUCUGGAAGUAACAACCCCGUGUGAGUCCGCAUAUCCCUGUACUUUACGGCGUAUCAGUCGGUGCGGUAUUCCCAAACUGCACUUCAGAGCUCCCGACCGCUACCUACCAUGUACAAAGAUGUAUAUACUAUAGAUAUAUACAGUUUGGAAGCCUUCUCAUUUCCAUUGUAUCUAAGUCUGCCUCAAAUUUAAGGCUAUACUAUAAGUUUUGAAACGAGAACGAAGAUUAUGGAAGACAUUUUUUAAUCGAGAAGAUUAACGAGGAU